AGAGUUUGAUCCUGGCUCAGAACGAACGCUGGCGGCGUGGAUAAGACAUGCAAGUCGAACGAGAGAAUUGCUAGCUUGCUAAUAAUUCUCUAGUGGCGCACGGGUGAGUAACACGUGAGUAACCUGCCCCCGAGAGCGGGAUAGCCCUGGGAAACUGGGAUUAAUACCGCAUAGUAUCGAAAGAUUAAAGCAGCAAUGCGCUUGGGGAUGGGCUCGCGGCCUAUUAGUUAGUUGGUGAGGUAACGGCUCACCAAGGCGAUGACGGGUAGCCGGUCUGAGAGGAUGUCCGGCCACACUGGAACUGAGACACGGUCCAGACACCUACGGGUGGCAGCAGUCGAGAAUCAUUCACAAUGGGGGAAACCCUGAUGGUGCGACGCCGCGUGGGGGAAUGAAGGUCUUCGGAUUGUAAACCCCUGUCAUGUGGGAGCAAAUUAAAAAGAUAGUACCACAAGAGGAAGAGACGGCUAACUCUGUGCCAGCAGCCGCGGUAAUACAGAGGUCUCAAGCGUUGUUCGGAAUCACUGGGCGUAAAGCGUGCGUAGGCUGUUUCGUAAGUCGUGUGUGAAAGGCGCGGGCUCAACCCGCGGACGGCACAUGAUACUGCGAGACUAGAGUAAUGGAGGGGGAACCGGAAUUCUCGGUGUAGCAGUGAAAUGCGUAGAUAUCGAGAGGAACACUCGUGGCGAAGGCGGGUUCCUGGACAUUAACUGACGCUGAGGCACGAAGGCCAGGGGAGCGAAAGGGAUUAGAUACCCCUGUAGUCCUGGCAGUAAACGGUGCACGCUUGGUGUGCGGGGAAUCGACCCCCUGCGUGCCGGAGCUAACGCGUUAAGCGUGCCGCCUGGGGAGUACGGUCGCAAGAUUAAAACUCAAAGAAAUUGACGGGGACCCGCACAAGCGGUGGAGUAUGUGGCUUAAUUCGAUGCAACGCGAAGAACCUUACCUGGGCUUGACAUGUAAUGAACAACAUGUGAAAGCAUGCGACUCUUCGGAGGCGUUACACAGGUGCUGCAUGGCCGUCGUCAGCUCGUGUCGUGAGAUGUUUGGUUAAGUCCAGCAACGAGCGCAACCCCUGUUGCCAGUUACCAGCACGUGAAGGUGGGGACUCUGGCGAGACUGCCCAGAUCAACUGGGAGGAAGGUGGGGACGACGUCAGGUCAGUAUGGCCCUUAUGCCCAGGGCUGCACACGUACUACAAUGCCCAGUACAGAGGGGGCCGAAGCCGCGAGGCGGAGGAAAUCCUAAAAACUGGGCCCAGUUCGGACUGUAGGCUGCAACCCGCCUACACGAAGCCGGAAUCGCUAGUAAUGGCGCAUCAGCUACGGCGCCGUGAAUACGUUCCCGGGUCUUGUACACACCGCCCGUCACAUCAUGGAAGCCGGUCGCACCCGAAGUAUCUGAAGCCAACCGCAAGGAGGCAGGGUCCUAAGGUGAGACUGGUAACUGGGAUGAAGUCGUAACAAGGUA
rnacentral:rRNA from 1 species